GAAAAUUAAGUUCACCAUUUGAGCAUAUAGUGCACAAGAACAAUAGAUUUGGAUAUAAAAUACAUUAACGAUAUUGAAAUGGUGUUCCUCUUUCAAAAGAAGGGUAUAUCUACAUGUUUAGAAUCCAAUUUUAUACAUGUUUUCAUUUAUAUAUUCUGGAAGUUGCUACAUUUGAGACUUAAAAAUAUUACAACUUGAAUGAAUUAAAUCUAGCAAUCUCGUUUUCAAAUGAAGAAAGAGUUUGAGAGGACAUUAUGUGCUCUUAAUUUAGAUUAAAAAAUUGAUAAACAGAUGUUUAAAGUUAAUGAUUUUGAUUUAUUGUGGAUCAAAGUUUCAAAUAAAGGAACUUAAACUAUGUGAGAAGAUUUACCUUAGGAUCCAUUAACCAAAUGUGUUGGUAAUUCAAUGGACUAUUCCGAGCUUUGUUGAGAGAGCAUUUUUCUGAAACUACUGCUCUACAAUCCAGCCAGACUCUCCAGGUUUGAUGUCAGGUAUGCGUUUGUGUUAUGUUGCCAUUUCUAUCUGCAAUGAAUUCUAUUUGAUUAGUAGAUGAGAAUGGUUAGAAAUAGAAGGGUUAAAAUGAAACAUAGAUAUUGAAAGAUAUAUGUAAUGAUGUUUUUGAAAUUGUUUGCUGUUAAUGUAUACUGUUGGGUGAAAGAAACGAAAUUACCAGGAUGAAGUUAGAAAUGAGCAAAUGAAGUUGGAGAAGACAAACCGUGUGAAGAUUUUCUUUGGUGUCUUAUAUGUUGAGAGAUGAGGUGGCAGUGGAAAGAAAUGAUGAAAGUUUAGAAUGAGUGGUGUGAAAUUUAGAUUUCUAUUUGAAUACAGACUGGAAAAUGUUUAGUGGCAGGCAAGAAUUUUUGUUUACUAUUAUAAACAAAAAAUUUUAGGGAAUGGUUGUGGGAAGUGGGUUGCCAGGUGGUGCUUAAGUGAUUUUUUACAAGGGACAGGUGUUCUUUUAGUAAAAUUAGUGGUUUGUAGUGAAGCAAAUAUUUGUUUUUAGUAAGUGUGAAGUAUAAAGAAGCAAUGACAGUUGGCAAAUUUGGAAUAUCUAAUGAAAGAAAAUUUGUGGUCAAGAUAUAAUUGAAUGUGUAAUUUUAAAUGAAAUAAAUACUGUAAUAAAACAAAUAUAUAACUUGGGCUAUUUAAAAUGUGGAGAAAUAAAAGUCCAAGUUCUCACAUGUACAAACAAUGAGGUCUAUAAUAGGGUAACUGCAGCAAUAACUAAUUAAUUGCAUUAUCCAGGAGUAGCAUCAAGUCCACAAAUUUUACCUACGAUUAUUUUGUACAAGACUGUUGCAAAAGUCCUGAGUAGCUGCCUGCAUGUGGAAAAACAUUGAAAGCUUCAUGGCCCAUGCUAAUUCAAAAUGCUUUUAAAGUACCUAUAUCAUUACUAGCAUAAAAUAGGUGUAAAUGUAGACUUUCUAAAAUGAGACAAUGUGAACAUAAAAAGGAUGUAGAAAAGAAAAUAAAGAUUUAGAAUUUCUCAAGUUUUUUUCAAAAGAACAAAGACAAAAACUGUUUGUUGAGCUUUAACAAAGAAUUAAAUUAAACCAUGCAGCUUUAGAAGAAGCCAAAGAUUGAGUUUUCAAAUUUAUUUCAUUUCCCAAAUUUCCUAAUGAGGAUCAGAAAUAAUAAAUAUCAAAAUGAAGCAACAAGUUUUUCAUCUCAUGACUUUAAUACAUCAAAAUCCAACUUUCUCAACUCCAGAUUGAUUCAUCAGAUACAAAAAUUACUAUGUUUUUUCCAUAACUCAAAUUUGAUAAUGAUAGUAAUAUGUAACUUCAAUUGAAAGAGUUGUUACAGACACGAUUGGAUUCAAUACAUAGAAUCCAUGCAUUUAAUCCCACCAAUGGCAAAGAGAAAGUAGGAUUUCUAACCAUCCAUGGAUUUAAUCCCACCAAUGGCAAAGAGAAAGUAGGAUUUCUAACCAUCCAUGGAUUUAAUCCCACCAGUGGCAAAAAGGAAGGUAGGGUUGCCUUAAACCCACUAUCAUCUGGACGGGCUGACAUCUGAAAAUGUUAGGUAGAUUUACCUUUUUCGGUGACAAGAGCUACAAUCGUGUAUCAUUCGUUACAAUUAAUGAUUUGGCAAUUGGACAAUUUAAUGAACACGACUAUUCCAAAGGUACCACCUACUGCCACUCCAAGGAUCUAAUAAACCAUUUGAAAAUAUAAUAUUACUUUAAAAGGUCUUAAAGACUUCCUUAAAUCCUUUCUUAAUGGAACAACAAAAGGCAGCAGAUAAGUUACCCAUCUUGAUUAUAUUCUAAAAUAGCUAAAAAAAAACAUUGAGAAGAUCAAAUCGGACAUAAGAAAAAAAGAAGCAAAUGUACCAAUCAUUAAAAAAAAAUGAAGAAACUACAAAUAACAAUAAUCUAAUCAAGACAACCAAGUGCAUAAAAAUUUAAGGUUCGUCCACUCAGUACCCCCAAAUUUUUACAUGGGUUUGGUUACAAAUUACAGGAAAAAAAAUUAAAAACCAACAUGGAUGUGAAAAUGAACAAGGUAGAAAAUAACUAAACCUGAAAGAUGCUUGAAUGAAGUGGAAAAUGUCUGUGCAAAGAAACUGUGUGGGAAAUAAGUCAAAGAAGAGAAGUGGGUAGAUUUGAUGGUGGGGAAAUGGUGCAUUUAGAGGCUCAUUGACGCCGUGAAAAUGGAAGCUUCCACUGCUCCUAACUCUUGAUUUGAACAAAAAAAUUACCCCAUAAACAAAUUUUCAAG
rnacentral:lncRNA from 1 species